UUGUGUAGUCUCUCGAAUCUAUCACUUUACAAACAGAACAAUUCACAAAUGAUCGAGACGAAAGAUUGGAAACUUAUUGAAAAUCUAGAAAGACUGGCUAAAUCACUUGAAGAAGCCGUUAAAAAAAUCAGCUAGAGGCUUUGUGUGCACUACAUAACAAUCAAACACAACUACCGGAAUGCUUACAAGAAAUCACAACAGUUACAGAAGAAUGGCAAAUAUGUAAUGACCUGAGACAUAUAACAGACGUACAGCUAUCAGUUUGUCCAUAUAGAAUUGAUGGUUUUGAAUUUGAAAUCACAAAUACGUUAUGCGUCUUGAGUGAAAGUAACAAUAUUCCAAAAUAUGAAUAACGAUCACACUGUCAUAAUCUAACAAUUUGUCUGGAAAAGGAAUGAAAACUGUUGAAUAUCUGGCUAGUGGGAUGACGGAGGGAAUUUUACAUUGAAGUUUUCAGGUACCAAGUGCAAAGUUUUACAGUAAAAUCUUGUACAUCAGUCUUUGUUUGCUACUUGUUGUAAUAAAAAAAAAUAAA